rnacentral:misc_RNA from 1 species
AAAAUACGAAAAGUAAUAUGAAUUGCAGAAUUCAGUGAAUCAUCGAAUCUUUGAACGCACCUUGCGCUCCUUGGUAUUCCUUGGAGCAUGCCUGUUUGAGUAUCAUGAAAUCUUCAAAGUAAAUCUUUUGUUAACUCAAUUGGUUUCUACUUUGGUAUUGGAGGUCUUUGCAGCUUCACACCUGCUCCUCUUUGUUCAUUAGCUGGAUCUCAGUGUUAUGCUUGGUUCCACUCGGCGUGAUAAGUUAUCUAUCGCUGAGGACACUGUAAAAGGUGGCCAAGGUAAAUGCAGAUGAACCGCUUCUAAUAGUCCAUUGACUUGGACAAUACUUUUAUGAUCUGAUCUCAAAUCAGGUAGGACUACCCGCUGAACUUAAGC